UACGUAGGGACCAAGCGUUAUUCGGAUUUACUGGGCGUAAAGGGCGCGUAGGCGGCGUGUUAAGUCACUUGUGAAAUCUCUAAGCUUAACUUAGAACGGUCAAGUGAUACUGAUGUGCUAGAGUGCAGAAGGGGCAACCGGAAUUCUUGGUGUAGCGGUGAAAUGCGUAGAUAUCAAGAGGAACACCAGAGGUGAAGACGGGUUGCUGGGCUGACACUGACGCUGAGGCGCGAAAGCUAGGGUAGCAAACGGG
rnacentral:rRNA from 1 species